AGGAAAAAUAUGUGGGAAGAACAGACAAAAAUUACCCAAAUUUUGUAGAAAGUAUAAACUUGCAGAUCAAAAAAGCUCAGUAAACUCCCAGGCAGGAUAAACAUAAGAGAACACCACCAGGCACAUCGCGGUCACAGUAUUGGAACCAAAGGUAAAGAGAAGAACUUGAAGGCAGCCAGAGGAGAAAGACAAUUCUGUACGAGUGAGUGACAGUAUGAAUUACAGUUGAUUUCUUAUCAGAAACAAUGGAGGCCAGAAGACAAUGGAACAAGACUGCAAAGUGACAAAAGAAAAAAAAAACAACAAACCUAUCAACCCAAGAUUCUAACUCCAGCGAAUUCUCAAACACCAUUCAAAAUUGAAAACGCAGUGAAGAGAUUUCAUUGCCAGCACAAUUGCACUACAGGAUUUCCAAAGGAAGUUCUUCAUGACUCUAGAUAGAAAUUCCGAUCUGCAAGAAUAAACAAAUUGCAUCAAACUGAUAAACACAAAAGACUACACAUCUUUUUAUUUUCUUCUCCUAAUUUUUAAGAAGACACAUGACUGGCAAAGAAAAUAUUAUCCCAUUGCUUUAUGGCAUUUGUAGUAUAUGUAUUUGUAAUAUGCAUGUAUGACAGUAAUACCAGAACAAUGCAAAGAUGCACAGAGAAAUGUCUGUGAAGGAGUUAAAAUGGAUACUAAGGAAACAUUUGAUUCAUCCAAAAGAAGUCAGGAAAGGAGGAACAGAGAAACAAAAGACAGAAAACAAACCGCAGAACGGCAGACUGAAAUCCAGCUGCACUAACGCUCCAUCACCAGCAAGUGCUGUUCACAGUUGAGCAUUAUGGUGUGCUCCGAACCCAGAGCCUUUCUUUUUGCUUUUCCUAAAAUUAACUGCCUAAUGUUUUUCUAUUAGACUAGCUUUUUGGGGAACCAUUGGUAAUUUUUCCCAUUUUUUACAACAGUCUCUCGUAAAAUUUUAUGCAAUAGCAAUCACAUCGAUUAAUCUGUCAAUUCCAUUAUUAACUUUUUGUUAAUAAAUUCCAUGAUUAACUUUUUGCAGGAAGACUUCUCCCCACACCUCAUGUUUCCUCCAUGUGGUGGGAACUCUGUUAGUGGGACACUCCUAGGCUUUCUGCGUUGAUAAACUCAGACGCACACAGGCACACACACGUGCACACAUGCCUGUGCACAUGUUCUGCCCUAGAGAAGGUGAAGUGUCCUGUCUGACUAGUGAGAAUGAAGAAGACACAGCAGGGCCCAGGCGCUUCUUCUGUUCCUCUUGGGGUCAGGUGGGUGCUGUGUGGAGAGAACACACAUCGCACGCUGCUCACCAGGGGGCACUCUGGCUGCCCAGCCCCACGCUGCCUGCACUAGGGCACUUGUAUGGCCCAGUUCUGGGACUCCCAGGGUCUGCAGAUGUAAGUGAGACACAUUCACCAGUAACAGUGUUGUUAUAAUAAAAGUGAAUGUCUGGUCCCCUAAAAUACUGUAGAAUCAGAGGCUGUAUCAGAGCAGGUGAUUUAAAAUAUGCUGAUAUAAAAUGAAACACUUAGAUGACAAAGAAGUUUACCAGUCAUCUGACGACAGUUGUUGAGUGCUGUCCAUUUCUCAUGUGCUAGAAGUAAAACUAAUCUCUUCACAAUCAUCUUUCAUUGCUCUUGUUUUAGUUUAGUAUUUUUUGUUAUUCAAAAUAUUUUUAAGUUGUAUAUAUAUAUAUAUAUAUAUAUACCUGUUCCUAAUGAUUUCUUUCACUGCUUCAAUUUCACUUCGUGAUUCUGGUUUGUUUAUUUCAUAAUUUUCCCUUAGCUUAGCUCUUUGUAGUUCUCUGGAGUUCAAGACGUAAAAUUUUUAUCUAGACCUGUUCUCUCCCAUGGCAACAGCUGUCAUGUUCAGUUGAACCGUGGCCCCCAAAAGAACGUAUGUUGACGUCCCAGCCCCAUACCUCAGAAAGAGGAGGUUCCUGUGGAAAUGGGGUCUUUGCAGAGUCACCCAAGUGGCCCUGGUCCAAUGGCUGGUGUCCUAAAGCACGGAGGUUGGAGGCAGACGGGAGAUGAUGUAGACAUGCAAGGUGACCACAGAGUCAGAGGCCGCAGGACAGGCUGAGAGCUGCCAGGGGCCAGGAAGAGGCCGUGGUGGGGGCUUCUUCCCCAGCACACACCCUGGGCUCAGACUUCAGCCUCCAGAUGGUGAGACAGCACCUUCUCCCACCCAAGCCCGUGAGUUUGUGCCACGUCGUGGCAGCGGCCCUGAGGGUCUGACAUGCAUCCGCCUUCCAAGCCUGCAGCUCAGCGUGGUGUUUUGCUUCUCUAUUUUAAAAACUUUUAUCUGGUUUAUCAUAUCUGGAAAAUCAUGAGUUUUUUGUCUGCCUGUGUUUGUGUUUUUUCCAUGAAACCUCUUUUCUGUUUUAAUGCUGUUCUUUUUCCUCGGAUGCAUUUUCCUUGAACAAUUAGCUGGUCUGUAUGUUCACCUCCGUCCCUUGCUGGCCGCAUCCUCCACCCCUUGUUUGUAUCCUCUGUCUUUCAUUAUCUUCCUUUUCUGGCUCACUUGGUUUUGUGGGCAUCGGGGUCAGAGAGGAAGGAUGGCAG